GACGAACGCUGGCGGCGUGCUUAACACAUGCAAGUCGAACGGUGAAGCGCAUUCCUUUUUGGUGGGUGUGGAUGAGUGGCGAACGGGUGCGUAACACGUGAGUAACCUGCCCCCUUCUUCUGGAUAACCGCAUGAAAGUGUGGCUAAUACGGGAUAUUCUGGGUCUGUCGCAUGAUGGGUCUGGGCAAGAUAUUGUUUCGGUGGGGGAUGGGCUCGCGUCCUAUCAGCUUGUUGGUGGGGUGAUGGCCUACCAUGGCGGUGACGGGUAGCCGGCCUGAGAGGGUCAACGGUCAUACUGGGGCUGAGACACGGCCCAGACUACGACGGGAGGCAGCGGUGGGGAAUAGAGCACAAUGGGAGCAAGGCUGAUGCAGCGACGCGGCGUGAGGGAUGGAGGCCUGCAGGUUGUGAACCUCUUUCGCCAGUGAAGCAGGCCUGCCUCGUUUGUGGGUGGGUUGACGGUAGCUGGAGAAGAAGCGCCGGCUAACUACGUG
rnacentral:rRNA from 1 species